rnacentral:rRNA from 1 species
UAAGCGGAGGAAAAGAAACUAACAAGGAUUCCCCUAGUAACUGCGAGUGAAGCGGGAAAAGCUCAAAUUUAAAAUCUGGUGGCCUCUGGUCAUCCGAGUUGUAAUUUAGAGAAGCGUCUUCCGCGCUGGACCAUGCACAAGUCUCCUGGAAUGGAGCGUCAUAGAGGGUGAGAAUCCCGUCUUUGGCAUGGAUGCACCAGGGCUUCUGUGAUGCGCUCUCAAAGAGUCGAGUUGUUUGGGAAUGCAGCUCAAAAUGGGUGGUGAACUCCAUCUAAAGCUAAAUAUUGGCGAGAGACCGAUAGCGAACAAGUACCGUGAGGGAAAGAUGAAAAGCACUUUGGAAAGAGAGUGAAACAGUACGUGAAAUUGUUGAAAGGGAAACGCUUGAAGUCAGUCGCGUCGACCGAGACUCAGCCUCGCCUAGGCUUGGUGUACUUCUCGGCUGACGGGUCAGUGUCAAUUUUGGGCCUCGGAUAAUGACAAGGGAAAGGUGGCACCUUUAUAGGUGUGUUAUAGUCUCCUGUCGGAUGCGAGGGUCGGGAUUGAGGAACUCAGCACGCGCCUUUUGGUGUCGGGGCUUCGGCCUACGCUACGUGCUUAGGAUGCUGGCAUAAUGGCUUUAAACGACC